rnacentral:rRNA from 1 species
UACGAAGGGGGCGAGCGUUGUUCGGAUUUACUGGGCGUAAAGCGUGCGCAGGCGGUUUUGUAAGUUUGUCGUGAAAUCCCCGGGCUCAACCUGGGAAUUGCGAUGAAGACUGCAAGGCUAGAAUCUGGCAGAGGGGGGUAGAAUUCCACGUGUAGCAGUGAAAUGCGUAGAGAUGUGGAGGAACACCGAUGGCGAAGGCAGCCCCCUGGGUCAAGAUUGACGCUCAUGCACGAAAGGCGUGG